GCCUGGGCAACGGAGUGAGACCCUAUAUCUAAAACAGUAUGAAAACAGGAAAAUAAAUCUCAACUAGAUUCUACUCUUUCUGCCCUUCUCACUACUGCACUUGACUAGUCUUAA
rnacentral:sRNA from 1 species